UACGUAGGGGGCAAGCGUUGUCCGGAAUCAUUGGGCGUAAAGCGCGCGUAGGCGGCCCUGUAAGUCCGUUGUGAAAACUCGAGGCUCACCUCGAGACGUCGAUGGAAACCAUCUGGCUAGAGUCCGGAAGAGGAGAGUGGAAUUCCUGGUGUAGCGGUGAAAUGCGCAGAUAUCGGAAGGAACAUCAGUGGCGAAAGCGACUUCCUGGACCAAUACUGACGCUCAUGUGCGAAAGCGUGGGGAGCAAACAGG
rnacentral:rRNA from 1 species